UUUUUAAAUAUAGCAGCACAUAUACUAAAAUUGGAAGACUACAAAGACAAUUAGCAUGGCUGCUGCACAAGGAUAACAUGCAAAUUUGUGAAGUGUUCCAUAUUUUU
rnacentral:snRNA from 1 species